AACGAACGCUGGCGGCAGGCCUAACACAUGCAAGUCGAACGUGAAGCCACCUUCGGGUGGUGGAAAGUGGCAGACGGGUGAGUAACGCGUGGGAACGUGCCCUUCGGUUCGGGAUAACCCAGGGAAACUUGGGCUAAUACCGUAUACGCCCUUUUGGGGAAAGAUUUAUCGCCAUAGGAUGGGCCCGCGUCGGAUUAGCUUGUUGGUAGGGUAAUGGCCUACCAAGGCAACGAUCCGUAGCUGGUCUUAGAGGAUGAUCAGCCACACUGGGACUGAGACACGGCCCAGACUCCUACGGGAGGCAGCAGUGGGGAAUAUUGGACAAUGGGCGAAAGCCUGAUCCAGCCAUGCCGCGUGAGUGACGAAGGCCUUAGGGUUGUAAAACUCUUUUGGCGGGGACGAUAAUGACGGUACCCGCAGAAUAAGCCCCGGCUAACUUCGUG
rnacentral:rRNA from 1 species